UUUCGCAAUGCCCGAAAGGGUGACGAAGCGACGCCGCGUGUGGGAAGAAGGCCUUCGGGUUGUAAACCACUGUCGGGAGUUAAGAAAGGUGUACGGGUAAAUAGUCCGUGCAUUUGACAAAAGCUCCGGAGGAAGCCACGGCUAACUCUGUGCCAGCAGCCGCGGUAGUACAGAGGUGGCAAGCGUUGUUCGGAAUUAUUGGGCGUAAAGAGCACGUAGGCGGCCCUGCAAGUCAGCUGUGAAAGCCUCCUGCUUAACGGGAGAAGUGCAGUUGAAACUACGGGGCUAGAGUGCGGAAGGGGAGAGUGGAACUUCUGGUGGAGCGGUGAAAUGCGUAGAUAUCAGAAGGAACACCGGCGGCGAAAGCGGCUCUCUGGUCCGUAACUGACGCUGAGGUGCGAAAGCCAGGGGAGCAAACGGGAUUAGAUACCCCGGUAGUCCUGGCCGUAAACGAUGGGCACUAAGUAGAGGGGUUUU
rnacentral:rRNA from 1 species